ACUGGAUCCUCUUCAUUUACACACCUCACAGUUUGGGAUACUGUAGUUUACAAGGAAUUGCACUGAGCCCAGAAUGAACCCCAACUAUCCACAGCAGCCAGGGCCCUAUGGACAGCCAGGUCCUAUUGGGCAGCCAGGGCCCUAUGGACAGCCAGGUUCCAUUUGGCAGCCAGGGCCCUAUGGGCAGCCAGGGCCCUAUGGGCAGCCAGGUACCAAUGGGCAGCCAGGGCCCCAUGGGCAGCCAGGGCCCUAUGGACAGCCAGGGCCCUAUGGGCAGCCUGGACAACCAUAUCCUAAUCCAAACGCUCCUCAUGGAAACAUGCCAUACCAGCCACCACCCCCACAGCCAGGCCAGCCAGGGUAUGGAAUGGGAGGUCCUGGACAGUUCCCCGGGGGUCAAGGAUACGGUCAAGGAUGUGGUCAGGGGCAGUGUUGUGGGCAGGGCCAAGGGCAUGGGCACAAGCAUGGACAUGGGCACGGGCAUGGUCAUGGGCACGGUCAUGGACAUGGGCAUGGGCAUGGUCAUGGGCACGGACCUUCCAAACAUGGAAAGAAACAUGGAAAGCAUUCUGGAAGCGACUCUGAUUAGGCAGUGCAAGAACACAUUACUCCUUGUGCAGGCUUCUAAUAAACUGCACUGCAACUUUUAAACCCAAAUGUUAUUAAUGCUUUUGUUUAAUCGUGGGCAACUGGUUUACAAUACAUACACUUCAUCAAAAAGCACAUAUUGUGGA
rnacentral:lncRNA from 1 species